rnacentral:tmRNA from 1 species
CCUCUGUUUUUCGAAAGCUUUGCCCCCUAUAUUGGGGGUGCCGGUUUGCCGGCUAUGGAAAUAAACGGUCGUCGCAAUAAACCAUUCGGACCCGGGGGCGGUACCCGGCGCCUCCACCAAAGCCCACUCGGUGGGACCACCCAGGGCAGCGGGCUUUGGCGGGGGCGAAAUAGGAUCGACGAGGGCGUAAAGGGCGUACUUUUUCCCGGUAUUGUUCCGCCGUUAUCGGGCUACUGCAAUAGUUGCCAACGACAACUUUGCUCCGGUUGCUCAGGCUGCGUAACGCAGUUUGAAAGACCACUCUAAAGUCCUAGCGGGUUAAGCUCCGCUAGGCGGGGUUCGGAGGCACCUGGCAACAGAAGCCUCCACU